UCCCCAGUGGCGCAAUUGGUUAGCGCGCGGUACUUAUAAUGACGAGGUUGUGAGUUCGAUCCUCACCUGGGGAA
rnacentral:tRNA from 1 species